rnacentral:snRNA from 1 species
GGAUGUGAGGGAGAUCUUUCUGUGACAUCUGUCACCCCAUUGAUCCCCAGGGUUGAUUCGGCUGAUCUGGCUGGCUAGGCGGGUGUCCCCUUCCUCCCUCACUGCUCCAUGUGCGUCCCUCCUGAAGCUGCAUGCUUGGUUGAAGAGGACGACCAUCCCCAACAGAGGAGGACCAGUCUUCGGUCAAGGGUAUACGAGUAGCUGCGCUCCCCUGCUAGAACCUCCAAACAAGCUCUCAAGGUCGAAGUAUUCAAAUGCUUUUUCCACUAGACUAUGUUCUUUUCUGCAGUUAAAAACUAUAGCCUUGG